rnacentral:rRNA from 1 species
CCUACGGGAGGCAGCAGUGAGGAAUAUUGGUCAAUGGGCGCGAGCCUGAACCAGCCAAGUAGCGUGAAGGAUGACUGCCCUACGGGUUGUAAACUUCUUUUAUAAAGGAAUAAAGUGAGGCACGUGUUCCUUUUUGUAUGUACUUUAUGAAUAAGGAUCGGCUAACUCCGUGCCAGCAGCCGCGGUAAUACGGCGGAUCCGAACGUUAUCCGGAUUUAUUGGGUUUAAAGGGAGCGGAGAUGGGUUGUUAAGUCAGUUGUGAAAGUUUGCGGCUCAAACGUAAAAUUGCAAUUGAUACUGGCAGUCUUGGGUAGAGUUGAGGUAGGGGGAAAUCGUGGUGUAGCGGUGAAAUGCU